AAAAGCAGCUUCCUCUAUCAUCAGAGGUUCACGGCUACAAAAAUAGGGAGAGGCACACUCACUUCUGCACCCUCGGAAAGUCUCGGAAGUCGGAAGAAGGAAAAAGAAAAGGAUAGAACCCAGCAUUGCCGAAGGUCUUGAGGAAAAUGGUGAAGGAAGGCUCAGCAAUAAUCUCUGGAAUCAAGAUUCAGGACCAGACACAACUAUGUAUGGUACAACUUGAAUUUGGUGCACUGAGAAAAGUAGCCCCUCAUAUUCCAUUGACUUAUGAUGUGCCCUUCAGGGAGCAAUAAGUGCUCCUUGACCACAACAUCUCCAAUACUGUAGGUAAAACAUUGUCGGCAGUUUGAAUGACUUUGUCUUCAAGAACCCAACUCCUAUCACCUGCAUAACAAAUAUGAGUUAGGACCCCUUCUUGAGAAUAUUCUAAAGCAAAGGUCCUUGGUAUUGGAAGAAAAGCUGAAGCUUCACUUUACACUGUCGUGAUUUAGUCUUCCAAGCAUCAUUGGUGCUUUGAGUGGUUUCAGAAACAGAGGCAGUGAUACCAUUGCAUCAUGUAAUCAUGAAGGGGUCCAUGCUGUAAGAAAACUUUUUAGUCCAUACAUUGUGCAGUGAUUCAACAGGUAAAUGAAUUACUAUCCCUAGCUUUCUGACACACAGUGGCAGAAUUUAUUGAACAGUGAAACAUUUUUCCUUUUUGCAGUCACUUUCUUGAUAGACCGUUUCCUUUUAGUGUUGGAUAUGUCUGAAGGUGGAUGAGCAUGUAAAAAUUUAUUAAUUUUGAUACUGGCUAAUUGAAAUGACAAGUAUGAAAUACCAGGGAUAUUAUAUGAUUAGCCAGACCAUUAAAUUAGAUGGCCAAAAAAUUGAAAAUAAAGGAAAAGGAAAUUGUUAAGCUGCUAUUGUUUCUGUUUAGUUGCUUGAAGGCCAGUAGAAUUGAUUGUUCAGCUUCUUCAAAAGAGUCGCUAUGAUCUUUAUAUUUUCAUGCUCAAUUCCUUCUGUCAUUUUUCAUUACUAGUUUCUUUUUUGCUUUUUUUUUUCCUUGCCAAUUUAUUCAUUAGUAGUCUAAGAUUAACCUAUAUCAGUAAUAUAUGUACACACAGUCAUGCAGAUAUAUCUAUAUAUAAUACCUAAUACUACACACACACACAAACACAUACCCAGUCUGCUGCUUAGACAAGAUUCUGCAGAGUGGGAUCCCUUUCUGCUAUGAUCCCACUCAAGGCUGCUUGAGAAGCCUUUUGUUCUCUUUGCCCUUCCUCCCAUUUAGGCUUGACUUUAAGGUCUAUCUCUUAGUUCUGGGCUGCCCAGAGCUUGAGUGAUAAAUUUUAAACCCUAUGCCAUAAGCCAUAACAGCUAUUUGACACCAUUGAUAUACACAUGUUGAGACCACACAAAAUUUGAGCUUGUUGCAUGGGCAGCCAUCCCGCUAAGCGGGAUCCCAUUGAAGAAGCUCCUUGUAUUGUAUGACUUUAUAUAUGUGUGUGUGUGUUUAAUUUUUAUCCAGAGCGAGGCCUCGCUCUGAAAUUAAAGUGUGAGGUUAGAGUUUAGGGUCACUUUUCGGUCUCAUAUCCACAUCUCGACCGUUCGGUUUUUAUGUACUAAUGUAUAGAUCAUCUCUGCAAAAUUUUAGCCAAAUUGAUGAUCUUUAAGGUAUCUAACUAGCUUAAUCCAAUUGACGAACUGAAUCUGUCCAACCUGAACUGUACUAGCUUUAAGGCAGUUAUCAAUGCCUUAAUGACCAUCAAUUUGGCUGAAAUUUUGCAGAGAUGAUCUAUACAUUAGUACCUAAAAACUGAACGGUCGAGAUGUGGAUAUGCGACCGAAAAGUGACCCUAAUCUCUAAAAGCGCACUUUAAUUUCAGAGUCAGGCCUCGCUCUGGAUAGGAUCUGUAUAUAUAUAUAUGAAGAUUCUUCUAGCUGGCAUGACUAUGGAAUUAUUUUGUUCAAUAACUCUUUGUAAACCCAUGAUUUCUGAUAUCAUGCUUUUGCUUUUGUUCUCCAUAUUGACAUAGUUUGGAUUCUUAUCUUUUACUUACUUUCUUGAUAUCUUCUUUCUUUUUUCCUUUUUUGUCCCUGGAACUUUUUACUUGGACGUGGUGGUUGUCUAUUUCACCUGAUUAAUAGGUAUAUCAAUGUAUGUAUUUACUAAUGGCAUGACUAGUUUCUCUACUUGGACAAUUGCUGAUGUAAAAUUUGGAUUAUGUAAUGGAACUGAACUAUUGUAUAAAUGUACUUCAGACUAUAUUAAAUGGAAGGUAGUGAAAGGAAUCUCUUAAUGUCUCUCCAAAUUCUGCCUCAUCACUUUAGAAGUAGCUAAAGUGGAUCGCUCUGUAGGUUUGAGCCCCUUCACCAAUGUAGCAGUCGUCAGCCCUUUCCAGUAGCUGUAGCCACUUGCCACAAUAUGGUACAAACUAGUGCUGCCCUGGAUAGCCCAAAACUAAACUAUAAUCUAGUAUACCUGGCUGGUUUAGUGGAUGUGUGGCAGCACCAAGUGAGGCAAGGCCGUGCAGGCAAUAAAUUGGGCAUUGCAACUACAGGUUAAUUG